rnacentral:rRNA from 1 species
ACUCCUACGGGAGGCAGCAGUGGGGAAUAUUGCACAAUGGGGAAAGGACCCUGAUGCAGCCAUGCCGCGUGUGUGAAGAAGGCCUUCGGGUUGUAAAGCACUUUCAGUAGGGAGGAAGGUAGUGUAGUUAACACCUGCAUUAUUUGACGUUACUACAGAAGAAGCACCGGCUAACUCCGUGCCAGCAGCCGCGGUAAUACGGAGGGUGCGAGCGUUAAUCGGAAUUACUGGGCGUAAAGCGCAUGCAGGCGGCCUGUUAAGUCAGAUGUGAAAGCCCGGGGCUUAACCUCGGAAUUGCAUUUGAAACUGGCAGGCUAGAGUCUUGUAGAGGGGG